UCCGCGAUGGUGUAACGGCAGCACGACGGCCUUUGGAGCCGUUAAGUUCAGGUUCGAAUCCUGAUCGCGGAG
rnacentral:tRNA from 1 species